UACGAAGGGGGCUAGCGUUGCUCGGAUUGACUGGGCGUAAAGGGCGCGUAGGCGGAUACUUAAGUUAGAGGUGAAAGCCCAGGGCUCAACCCUGGAACAGCCUUUAAUACUGGGUAUCUUGAGUUCGGGAGAGGUGAGUGGAACUCCGAGUGUAGAGGUGAAAUUCGUAGAUAUCGGGAGGAACACCAGUGGCGAAGGCGGUUGCCUGGAGCUUUGCUGACGCUGAGGCGCGAAAGCGUGGGGGAGCGAGUCGG
rnacentral:rRNA from 1 species